CAGACAAGAAAGAUGGGGAACGUAUGUUGAAGAUGCUACAUGUGAGUAAACAUGUGUAACAGAAUGCCGAUGCUGAGGUGGCGGAAGCAGUGAGGGCUAAUGAGACUUUAAGAUAUGGGGAUGGUCGUCUGGAAGAAUGCACGAGGCAAGUUGGAGAAGGUUGUUGCAGUUGUUUAGAAAGACAUGCUGUCAGUUCUGCAAGAAUUCAUUCCUUCUUGAUAAUAAGCGGUUGCCAAGCCAUUUUCCUGUACCAGUUUCAGCCAGUUUGCCAGGUUGGAUGUUUAGUAAAAGUAAAGGACGAUGAUGCACUGGACUUUUCCUUGGAGAACAAACAAGGUGGCGCGACAACGAGCAUGAUACAAGUGAUCCUGACCUCAAAAUAUUCAGAUUUACCUGCCUCCGAGAUGGGUGACAAG